UACGGAAGGCAGCAGUGGGGAAUAUUGCACAAUGGGCGCAAGCCUGAUGCAGCCAUGCCGCGUGUAUGAAGAAGGCCUUCGGGUUGUAAAGUACUUUCAGUCGUGAGGAAGGUGUUAAGGUUAAUAACCUUAGCAAUUGACGUUAGCGACAGAAGAAGCACCGGCUAACUCCGUGCCAGCAGCCGCGGUAAUACGGAGGGUGCGAGCGUUAAUCGGAAUUACUGGGCGUAAAGGGCACGUAGGCGGUUAAUUAAGUUGGAUGUGAAUCCCGGGCUUAACCUGGGAAUGGCAUUCAAGACUGGUUAGCUAGAGUCUUGUAGAGGGGGUAGAAUUCCAUGUGUAGCGGUGAAAUGCGUAGAGAUGUGGAGGAAUACCGGUGGCGAAGGCGGCCCCUGGACAAAGGCUGACGCUCAUGUGCGAAAGCGUGGGGAGCGAAACAGGGAUUAGAUACC
rnacentral:rRNA from 1 species